CGGGCCUCUUGCCAUCGGAUGUGCCCAGAUGGGAUUAGCUAGUAGGUGGGGUAACGGCUCACCUAGGCGACGAUCCCUAGCUGGUCUGAGAGGAUGACCAGCCACACUGGAACUGAGACACGGUCCAGACUCCUACGGGAGGCAGCAGUGGGGAAUAUUGCACAAUGGGCGCAAGCCUGAUGCAGCCAUGCCGCGUGUAUGAAGAAGGCCUUCGGGUUGUAAAGUACUUUCAGCGGGGAGGAAGGGAGUAAAGUUAAUACCUUUGCUCAUUGACGUUACCCGCAGAAGAAGCACCGGCUAACUCCGUGCCAGCAGCCGCGGUAAUACGGAGGGUGCAAGCGUUAAUCGGAAUUACUGGGCGUAAAGCGCACGCAGGCGGUUUGUUAAGUCAGAUGUGAAAUCCCCGGGCUCAACCUGGGAACUGCAUCUGAUACUGGCAAGCUUGAGUCUCGUAGAGGGGGGUAGAAUUCCAGGUGUAGCGGUGAAAUGCGUAGAGAUCUGGAGGAAUACCGGUGGCGAAGGCGGCCCCCUGGACGAAGACUGACGCUCAGGUGCGAAAGCGUGGGGAGCAAACAGGAUU
rnacentral:rRNA from 2 species